rnacentral:rRNA from 1 species
CAAUACAAAGGGCAGCGAAACCGUGAGGUCAAGCAAAUCCCAUAAAGUUGUUCUCAGUUCGGAUUGUAGUCUGCAACUCGACUACAUGAAGCUGGAAUCGCUAGUAAUCGUAGAUCAGCAUGCUACGGUGAAUACGUUCCCGGGUCUUGUACACACCGCCCGUCACACCACGAGAGUUUGUAACACCCGAAGCCGGUGGAGUAACCUUUUAGGAGCUAGCCGUCGAAGGUGGGACAAAUGAUUGGGGUGAAGUCGUAACAAGGUAGCCGUAUCGGAAGGUGCGGCUGGAUCACCUCCUUU